CUGUCCCUGUCUGAUGAGGAGGGAUGCACUCUGAGUGGCAGGAGAAACGUGGAUCUGGACCUGGCAUUUUCUCAGAAAAAGAGAGGUCUACUCCACAGUUCUCCAGACUCCCUGGCUGACUCAUGGUUCAGGGUGAAACACAGUAGGGACCAGCUGA